GUCUACAGCCAUAAUAUCCUGAAUGCGUUGCAUCGCCUUUGGUCUUGGAAGCUAAGUUAGGGUUGGGCCUGGUUAGUACUUGGAUAGGAGACCACCUGGGGAAUACUGGGUGUUGUAGGGU
ensembl:rRNA 5S_rRNA 5S ribosomal RNA